rnacentral:rRNA from 1 species
CGAACGGGUGAGUAACACGUGGGUGAUCUGCCUCGCACUCUGGGAUAAGCCUGGGAAACUGGGUCUAAUACCGGAUAUGACCRCGAAUCGCAUGGUUUGUGGUGGAAAGGUUUACUGGUGCGAGAUGGGCCCGCGGCCUAUCAGCUUGUUGGUGGGGUAACGGCCUACCAAGGCGACGACGGGUAGCCGGCCUGAGAGGGCGACCGGCCACACUGGGACUGAGACACGGCCCAGACUCCUACGGGAGGCAGCAGUGGGGAAUAUUGCACAAUGGGCGAAAGCCUGAUGCAGCGACGCCGCGUGAGGGAUGACGGCCUUCGGGUUGUAAACCUCUUUCGACAGGGACGAAGCGCAAGUGACGGUACCUGUAGAAGAAGCACCGGCCAACUACGUGCCAGCAGCCGCGGUAAUACGUAGGGUGCGAGCGUUGUCCGGAAUUACUGGGCGUAAAGAGCUUGUAGGCGGUCUGUCGCGUCGAUCGUGAAAACGUGCAGCUCAACUGCGCGCCUGCGGUCGAUACGGGCAGACUAGAGUACUUCAGGGGAGACUGGAAUUCCUGGUGUAGCGGUGAAAUGCGCAGAUAUCAGGAGGAACACCGGUGGCGAAGGCGGGUCUCUGGGAAGUAACUGACGCUGAGAAGCGAAAGCGUGGGUAGCGAACAGGAUUAGAUACCCUGGUAGUCCACGCCGUAAACGGUGGGUACUAGGUGUGGGUUUCCUUCCACGGGAUCCGUGCCGUAGCUAACGC